UGGACCAAUGACAAGGGUGUGUUUAUGAACAAAGAAUCGUGAUUAAUUCAGUUCGGCACCAAAUCCUGUGGUCCAUU
ensembl:snoRNA small nucleolar RNA SNORD112